rnacentral:lncRNA from 1 species
UUUUUUAUUCUUUUCAAUUUUUAGGUAUUAACAACUGUUAAUAUUUUCAAAAUACUGCCAUAUGUGUAGCUUUGAAAUGUGUAUUAAAUGAGGACAAGAGAGCGACUUGUAUACUCUGAAAUGCUUUGUAUCUUUCCUUUGGUACUUACUACAAUAAAAAGAAAUUUGGAAAGUAGAGAUAUAUAAAGACUUGGGAAGAGAAUUAUUUAGUGUGAAGGAAAGAGAAGAGAGUAACAAAAAAUUAGGGAUUGGAAUGUAGAGAAAUUAUCACUGUGUUCUUGUGAUGAACAUCAGUAUUCAAAAGUAACUCAUAAAAAGUUUAAAAUAUAUUUGAGUUAAAUAGCUAAAAUGCAACUAAUUUAUGCUAAAUUAGCAUAAAUAAAAUUUAAGAAGUAUGCAAGGAAGUCUCAAUUAAAUGAAAAUGUUAAAACUCUUAACUUGAAUUGUGGAACAUUUGAAUAGUAUUAAUUCCAGUUGAAAGACUGUCUAGUGCAGGCCUUGAUGCCCACAGCUUUAAUCCCAGCACUGGGGACACAGAGGCAGCCGGGUCCCUCAGAGUUGGAUGCCAACCUGGUCUACAAAGUGAGUUUCAGGCCAGCCAGGGCUACACAGUGAGACCUGUCUCAAAACAAAACAAAAGAAGGAAGAAAGAAAAGGAAUUGAAAGAAAAGCAGUUGGUAUGGGGGAACUGUGCAGAGUUUAUUUGUGAGACAGGAUGGAGCUAAAAGAAUCAAGAUAAAAUAUUAAAAUUAAGAAUUUAGGCAUUGCCUCAGGGAAAAGGCAGCGAGAGGGAACCACUUUAUUGCUAAUAGCUCGUCUGGAGCAGACGCCAGCUGCUCUGGGAGCCUCCAGCACAACCAGGAAGUGAACUUGACUUUCCAUUUCUCCUGGGGCUUUUUAGGACAGACCCUUCUGCUCUUUGUUAGACCUGCAUCUUGAGUCAUGCUACGAUUGCUAAAAUAUGCUGAAUGGAUUAUUUUUAAAAGUUUCUUUGGGUGUUUUUUCUAUGAAGAGUUAUAUGUGAUUUUUCUGAUAUAUAACUGUGUCAGUGGUCUAAAUAAUGAAUGGAGGGGAUAUGUUAAUUUAAAGGGGAUCUGAUAGGAACAUUAAAGGAAGCUUUUAGUCAGCCUGUGGCUAGAUUUAUUGAUUUGGUAAGCAAACCUGUAUUGUUUGCUGACUUUCAGCUAAUGGCUAACUCUGGUCAAAGAAUGGCUUUUGCUUAAGGUUUUGACUUAUUAUAAAUAAGAUUAAGAAUAUCUUAGUAAUUAGGAAUCCUUUAAAACAUAGAACAAAUGUGCAAAUAAGACUCAUCUUUUUAUAAGAAAAACACAUAAGCCUUUAUCACUUAUUCAUGAGCUAAAGCCAUUAAGAUAAAUCAAAUUAUCGACGUUCAAUCUCUGAACUUUGGAUCGUUUUCUAGAUCCAUAUAAUAGAGUACUUCUUUCCUGUGAAUCUGAUGCUUUGAGAUAGAUCUCUUACCCUCUUUUCAUUAAAAGUAUUUGUCAUUUUUAACUACAGUCACAAUCCAGUAGGCAACUAUAUUUUUAUUUUGGCAGAGCAAAUUUCAGAGUCCAUACUUAAUUAUAAGACAAUCCUGAAGACAAAACAAUGUUUAAAAUAGCCUAUUUAGCCAGGUGUAGUGGUACAGGCCUCUAGUCCCAUCACUUGGGACUAGAUUUCUGUGAGUUCCAGGCCAUUGUUACAUCCUGUCUUGAGAAAAGAAGACGAUGAAGACAUGUAAAGUAAUGGCUAUCUAGUGGAAAAGGCUUUAGGACAAAACUAACUUCAAGACAGUGUGUCUAUUUUGUAAUUUUGAAUGGAUUGCUCAAUCCUAAAUACUCCUUUGCCUUAAUUUCCUGUGAAAUGUAGGUAAUGGUCUUGGUCUCCUGAAUGUUCAGUAAAAGGUGUCCCUUGGAUCAUAGUUGAAAAUAAUAGUUGCUGAGUAGCUAUUCAGUACUAGUUGAGAAUGACACAUUUUUAAAGUAGCACCUUUGUGGGGCAUACAAAAUCAUAUUCACUUGUCUGUAAUAAGCUUUCUUGACUUGCUCUGAUAAUGGAGAUAAUAGAACAAUUUGGGUUUAUGGUUUAAACCCUACAAUUAGAUAAUUGGAGUUUCCUCCUGCCUUUCAGAAGAUCUGUGUAAACUGAUGUUGGCCUUAUUUGGAAAGAUAAUCACAUCUGCAGGAAAUAAAGAUCAUUUUACCAUGGUUAUAAAUCAAAUCUAAGCUAUCAGACUUAGGAGUCAUGAUGUAAAACUCAAGAAAGUUUAUUUAAAUUAUGCUGGCUUUGCUAGAAUUGGAUACAUUUGUAUGAGCCGAGUAUGAAAUAUAUACACUUGAAUAUCAGAGUUUAAUGAUUUCACAAAGCUAUGUUGUCAAUCAUGGUGUGUAACCCAUACUGUUUCUUUUCACUUUCUAAUCUUGACAAAUAUUUCUGUAGGUUUAAAAUUUUUGAUCUAAAUAAAUUUUCGCUUAAUAUAUUAAAUCC